UCCUCCGUAGCUCAAUUGGCAGAGCAUCCGGCUGUUAACCGGAGGGUUACUGGUUCGAGUCCAGUCGGGGGAGCCA
rnacentral:tRNA from 3 species